rnacentral:rRNA from 1 species
AGCAAAGCCGCGGGGUAGAGCAAAUCUCAAAAAAACAAUCUCAGUUCAGACUGCAGGCUGCAACUCGCCUGCACGAAGUCGGAAUUGCUAGUAAUCGUAGGUCAGCAUACUACGGUGAAUACGUUCCCGGGCCUUGUACACACCGCCCGUCAAACCAUGAGAGUUGGCAACACCCGAAGUCGGUAGUCUAACCGCAAGGAGGACGCCGCCGAAGGUGGGGUUGAUGAUUAGGGUUAAGUCGUAACAAGGUAUC